ACAUGCCUACAACAUAGCAUUAAUGCACCAUAUCCCAUUAGAACUUCACAGUUAAGCAUGCUCGGGCUAGAGUAGUAUUGGGAUGCGUGACCAUUCGGGAAGUCCUAGUUUUUUACAUGCC
rfam:Picea glauca, whole genome shotgun sequence.